UAUGUGAUCGUCUCUCGCAUAUCAAUAAGCGGAGGAAAAGAAACUAACAAGGAUUCCCCUAGUAACGGCGAGUGAAGCGGGAAGAGCUCAAAUUUGAAAUCUUAAAGGGUUUCCCUUUACGAAUUGUAGUUUAAAGAAGUGUUUUCUGUUGAGGUUUUGGUAAAAGUUCUUUGGAAUAGGACAUCAUAGAGGGUGAGAAUCCCGUAUUUGACCUUUACUUUCAACUUUGUGAUACACUUUCAAAGAGUCGGAUUGUUUGGGAAUGCAGUCCAAAAUGGGUGGUAAAUUUCAUCUAAAGCUAAAUAUUGGCGAGAGACCGAUAGCGAACAAGUACCGUGAGGGAAAUGAUGAAAAGAACUUUGAAAAGAGAGUUAAACAGUACGUGAAAUUGUCAAAAGGGAAGCGUUUGACACCAGUGUUGUUUUUCUGAAAAUCAAUUAAAGAACUGUUUAUGCUAAGUUGUUUAGACUUUAUCAGCUAUCUGUUUAGUUUUGAGCUUUUCUUUAAUGCACUUUUCAGUUAACAAGUCAACAUCAAUUUCUUUUGCUGUAAAAAAGCUUGAGGAAGGUGGCUUGAGAUUCGUCUUAAGUGUUUAUAGCCUCUUGCCUAUGCAGUCGGAGAGAUUGAGGUCUGCAGCGUAGAUCCUUCGGGGCUAAAUGCAUUUGUGCUAAGUUAUAGCAUUUUAUAGACAACUUGUUGACUAUGAUUUGUCUUGUAGCUUACUCGCUUAUGUUAUUUUACCUACGCUUAGGAUGUUGAUCUGUAGUGCGUGCGC
rnacentral:rRNA from 1 species